rnacentral:rRNA from 1 species
UACAGAGGUCCCGAGCGUUGUUCGGAUUUACUGGGCGUAAAGGGUGCGUAGGCGGUGGGGUAAGUUUGAGGUGAAAGCUCCGGGCUCAACCCGGAAACUGCCUUGAAAACUAUCCGGCUAGAGGGUUGGAGGGGAGACUGGAAUUCUCGGUGUAGCAGUGAAAUGCGUAGAUCUCGAGAGGAACACCAGUGGCGAAGGCGGGUCUCUGGACAACACCUGACGCUGAGGCACGAAAGCCAGGGGAGCAAACGGG